UGCCAGCCGCCGCGGUAAUACGAAGGGCCCGAGCGUUAAUCGGAAUCACUGGGCUUAAAGCGUACGCAGGCGGGCCAGUAAGUACCUUGUGAAAUCCCUCGGCUCAACCGAGGAACUGCUGGGUAUACUGCUGGCCUUGAGUGUGGUAGGGGCGGUCGGAACGGUAGGUGGAGCGGUGAAAUGCGUAGAUAUCUACCGGAACGCCGAAGGUGAAGACAGGCCGCUGGGCCACCACUGACGCUCAUGUACGAAAGCGUGGGGAGCGAACGGGAUUAGAUA
rnacentral:rRNA from 1 species